rnacentral:rRNA from 1 species
AGCGAACGUUUGCGGCGGGCCUAACACAUGCAAGUCGAACGCACUAGCAAUAGUGAGUGGCGCACGGGUGCGUAACACGUGGGUAAUCAACCCUUCAGCCUGGGAUAACGACUCGAAAAGGGUCGCUAAUACCGGAUACGGCGCGAGAGGCUUCGGCUUCUCACGAGAAAGCCACGCAAGGGGCACUGAAGGACGAGCCUGCGGCUCAUCAGCUAGUUGGUGAGGUAAGAGCUCACCAAGGCUAAGACGGGUAGCCGGUCUGAGAGGAUGUCCGGCCGCAAUGGAACUGAGAACGGUCCAUACUCCUACGGGAGGCAGCAGUGGGGAAUAUUGGACAAUAGGGCGAAAGCCUGAUCCAGCGAUUCUGCGUGAAGGAUGAAGCCUUAUGGGGUGUAAACUUCUUUUCUGGGGGAAGACGAAUGACGGUACCUCAGGAAUAAGAGACGGCUAACUACGUGCCAGCAGCCGCGGUAAUGUACAGUGU